GACGUAGGGCGCGAGCGUUGUCCGGAUUUAUUGGGCGUAAAGAGCUCGUAGGCGGCUCGUUGCGUCAACCGUGAAAACCCGGGGCUUAACUUCGGGCUUGCGGUUGAUACGGGCGGGCUGGAGUUCGGUAGGGGAGACUGGAAUUCCUGGUGUAGCAGUGAAAUGCGUAGAUAUCCGGAGGAACACCGGUGGCGAAGGCGGGUUGCUGGGCUGACACUGACGCUGAUGCGCGAAAGCCAGGGGAGCGAACGGG
rnacentral:rRNA from 1 species